rnacentral:rRNA from 1 species
CCUACGGGAGGCUGCAGUGAGGAAUAUUGGUCAAUGGGCGAGAGCCUGAACCAGCCAAGUCGCGUGAGGGAGUACUGCCCUAUGGGUUGUAAACCUCUUUUGUCGGGGAGCAAAAGCCGGACGUUUCCGGCUGUGAGAGUACCCGGAGAAAAAGCAUCGGCUAACUCCGUGCCAGCAGCCGCGGUAAUACGGGGGAUGCGAGGGUUAUCCGGAUUUUUUGGGGUUAAGGGGGGCGCAGGGGGAUUUUUAAGUCAGCGGUAAAAUCGUGGGGCUCAACCCCAUCCAGCCGUUGAAACUGGGGAUCUAGAGUGUGCGAGAGGUAUGCGGAAUGCGUGGUGUAGCGGUGAAAUGCAUAGAUAUCACGCAGAACCCCGAUUGCGAAGGCAGCAUACCGGUGCACAACUGACGCUCAGGCACGAAAGCGUGGGUAUCGAACAGGAUUAGAUACCCUGGUAGUC